GUUCGUGAGCAAGCUACUUACCACACAGCCACUCCUACACCUAUGAAAAUUUUACAAUUUGGUGUAUUGAUGUAAUUUUCCAUGGUGAAUCUCAGGAGAUAAUUAAUCUUUUCCAGAAAAACAGUUUUAAAAAAAGUUACAGAGGUUUAAAGUUUGAUCAUUUUUACCCAGUCAGA